CACUGCUCUUCGAAACACAAACUCUUUAACUGCAGACUGUAAUUAUUCCGAACAGAAGAUCGGAUUCUCUUACUCAAAAUACAGGUGUAAAAGAUGUCUGAUCUCAGUAUGAAGAUUAUAAUCAGCAUUGGUAGCAGCUUACUGAUGAUUGCAGCUUUUCUGAUCGCUGUUGUUGCCAGUCUUCUCUUCAAAAUCUCUAAAGAGCUGAAAGAACCUGAUGCUGAGGCUGAGUGUGCCAGCAACACCAAGGACAAGGUCAUCCUGACUGAAUCCAUCUUCACUGAGUCUUCCUCCAUGGUUCAUCCCUGUGAGGAAUGUAAAAUGUAUGCAGAUUCUCUGCCACCUUGCUUCUGUGAGAUAAACAGCGGAUGCUAAUGUCUGAUUGGUGGACAAAAAAAUCUUC